rnacentral:lncRNA from 1 species
UGUUUCUACCUCCUGGACCUCGCGUCAGAGGAGCCGCAUUGUCUUCAGUCUUGAGCCUGUGGUGAUGGAAAGCUUAUGGGUUUCAGAGCCUGCCUGGUCCAUGUUUGAAGUGUUGCUGUGUGACCGUGGACAGGUGAAAUCCCCUCUCUGAUGUUCUCCCCAGCACCCGGGCUGGAAGCGACUGACGUGAUGGAUCAUCUAAUCCCACAGCCUCAUUUUGCAGAGGACCCCGAGCCUCGACUUGGCCAAGGUCACACAGCUGGGCCACACCCAUGGCGUAUGGUUUUCAUAUGGAAUUGGAGCUGCAGUUGCCGGCCUGUGCCACAGCCACAGCAAGGUAGGAUCUGAGCCAAGUCUUUGACCUACACCACAUCUCACGGCAAUUCCAGAUCCCUGGACCCACUGAGUGAGGUAAGGGAUUGAACACGCACCCUUAUGGAUACUAGUUGGAUCACAACGGAACUCCCUGAAAAAUCAAGGUCUUUAAAGCAAUUCAUCAACCCCACCAACAUCUUGGCAUAAGAAAAUUGAUUCUGUAAGUCAAAAGAACUUAUAACAUGGUAUAUUGGGAGGAUGGCAGGGCUUGGUAAGUGGUAGCAACGCAGCUGGUAGAUUUUUCUUUGUUGUGUCCUUGUCCUUACGCUCUUUUUAGCCACAUUUUCAUUCAGGAUUCUUGGGUUGGAAGCAACAGAAAUGGACUCUUUUGGCCUUAAGCAAAAAGAAAAUUUGUUGAAAGGGCAUGGAGGAGUUCAUAGGAUUGACUAGAAGUUUGGAGAAGUAGGCUCAGGAGUCAAGGCAUUUAUAGAGGAGGGUAGGGUAGAGAGGUGAUAAAAAUAAUGCAACAGUCUUAUUUGGAAAUUGUACUGGCAUGUAAGAGUUUCAUCUUUCCUCCUCCCUUCCCCUCUCUCUCUUUCUGCCACUUCAUUCGAGAUUCCAAUUUCAGCGAAGGAGCAUCCAAUUGGCCUGUCUUGGUCAGAUUCCCACCACCCCCAUGGUUAGGGGAACACAGCAUAUUCGAAAUGGCAUUCCCACGAGGUACAUUCCAUGGAAAAGUAAUACCACAAAGAAAAUAUGGACACAGUUAUCAAAGGAAGAUAAAACAGGUGCUGGGUAGCCAACAAUAGCCUAUUUCCACUAUAUCCUUUAAAAAAAAUCCCAGUAACUCUUCUAUGAUUACUGAUGUUUCAGGAGAGAAAUUUAACGAUGGAAGAGUGUAUACAUAGUGAUGAAAAGAAUGGGAGGAUUUAUAAGAUACAAGUCAUUUUCUUUGAGUUGUGGGACAAUGGUUGGGUCCAUUUUUCUUCUGUUGUUUUUUCCUAUAGAGCACAUUUAUAACCUUUUAAAAGUAAACUAUGUUUUCUACUUUAAGAUGAGUGAAAUGAGGGGGGAGUGUCCUUUUGACUGGGGACAUAGUCACUAGUUACUCUAUGUUAAUAACAGAAGCAUACGUUCCUCUCGAGGGGCAACAGUGUUCUUAUACAUUAAACUCUCAACAGAAACCAAAAGAACCACCACCAAAAAAAUCCCACCCAGUUUGGAAAGGACUUGUGCUUGUGGGUCGGGGGCAGAAGGAAGCAAUUUCCCUCCAUUUUCUGCCUGAGCAGGCCUUUUGCACUUUGAUAUUCGUUUCACUAAUAAGGUGUUUCAUUAUUUCUCCCACAAAAAGAGCUGGUGCUGUUAUGAGAUGCUGUUGAAGACUCUGGUUUGCCCAGAUGUGCCGCAGUGAAAACAGCCUUUCUCUGACGUGCAUGACUUGUGAGGAUGAUGGGACCUGUGGGAAGAGGGGAUCCUUUUUCAGAGUUUGGAAAGAGAGACAAAAUAACGCCAUCUGCCCUGCAUGGCUGACAGAAACACGUUCUUCCCUAAUCAGUGGGUCACUCACUUCCGCACUAUGUUGCAGGGAAGCAUCAUCUGAUUCCAAGCCUAAGGCUGGGUCAUCCGCGGCACUGACUUCUCCCGACCCUUCUCCGAGCUUCCCGUGCCAGUUUUCAUCAUCAAAUUUCUCUGCUCCCUUGGACCAGCGGAAAAGAAGUUAUGAGCUCUCUCCAUCAUUCGCCGGUCUCUUCGGCCCUUCCUCCUUUGAAGUUUUCUUAUUCGGGGUCUUUUUUUCGCUUCUUCUCCAUGUUUCAUCCUCUCUCACUGUAACCUUUUUAUCUCUGGAGAGUUCUCUCUGUGCCUCUGGGCCCUUCUCUUUCUAGUUGGUUCUCAGAACCCAUUCUGGGAUUCUAUUUCAGUCCAUCCGUCUCUCCAACAGACCACGGGUGAAACCAGGGCCGGUAAUCAGUCCCAGCUGCUGGAGGCGUCCGCUCUGGGUCGGCCCCACGUUUGUGGGCUGAUGUUUUGCUUCCCAUAAUGCUCUGGGAGUUCUGCUGCUCAGAGCUUGGCUUGUGCUUUUUCUUCUCCUGCCAAGGGGCCCUGCUUCCAAAACCCAGAUUAGAAAACAUGGGACGUUAAAAAAAAAAAAAAAAAA